UGCGAGCGUUAAUCGGAAUUACUGGGCGUAAAGCGCAUGCAGGUGGUUUGUUAAGUCAGAUGUGAAAGCCCGGGGCUCAACCUCGGAAUAGCAUUUGAAACUGGCAGACUAGAGUACUGUAGAGGGGGGUAGAAUUUCAGGUGUAGCGGUGAAAUGCGUAGAGAUYUGAAGGAAUACCGGUGGCGAAGGCGGCCCCCUGGACAGAUACUGACACUCAGAUGCGAAAGCGUGGGGAGCAAACAGGAUUAGAUACCCUGGUAGUCCACGCCGUAAACGAUGUCUACUUGGAGGUUGUGGCCUUGAGCCGUGGCUUUCGGAGCUAACGCGUUAAGUAGACCGCCUGGGGAGUACGGUCGCAAGAUUAAAACUCAAAUGAAUUGACGGGGGCCCGCACAAGCGGUGGAGCAUGUGGUUUAAUUCGAUGCAACGCGAAGAACCUUACCUACUCUUGACAUCCAGAGAAYUUUCCAGAGAUGGAUURGUGCCUUCGGGAACUYUGAGACAG
rnacentral:rRNA from 1 species